GACCUGUUUCUUCAACAUACCUGUGGGCAGAUUUUUAUUUUAUUUUUUGCAUAUCAAAACCAAGCAAAUAUCCUGAAGAUCUCUCUGUUUUUUCUCCCUCCGUUCUCCAAAAGGGACCGAUCUGUGUUGCGCUUUCUUCUUUUCCUUCUUUGCCAUCAGUGUUCAAUUAACCUUUUGCCAAAAUGCGUUUACCGCCAUUGCCCGUUUUGCGGAGAAGCGUUCCCCACCCACCCACACCUCCCCGCCGGUUUCUGUGAAAGCAGUUGCCCCAGGGGUGGGGAAGAGACGAACUAACUCUGAGAGUUUGUCUUUCUCCUCCUCUUUCUUUCAAAACACCUGCACGGUUUCGAAAACAAACUUUGGCAGGUGCUGGACAACACUAAUUGGAAUAUUUGUCAGUAUUCCUUGCUUGGCUACGUUUUGGUGCAGGGGGUGUAUCCGGUAGGGGGAAGACCCUGAAGUAUGCAGAAACUCCCCACCCCCAUACGCAAACACACACGGUUUUAGCAUUUUAGAGGCGCAGCUUCCCUUCCAAACAAGUCUUAAAUCUUUUGCCAAAUGUUACAGGACUACUGGUGGUGGUGAUGCUGUUUGUGUUGCGGCAGGUGGGAUGUGGAAUUGGCCAGAAGAUUUCGCUUUGAGCUCUCUUAGGAGUCCUAAAAUGAGUGCUCGGGGGGGGGGGGGGCUUUGCGGCUUGUGUGUUGAGUCACGCUAGUUGUGUUGGGGGACGGGUGUUUUUUAAACCUGCUAGUCUUAGUCUCUUCUGGGUUCCUUCCCCACUUCCCCCACCCCAUGCAAAAGUUACAACUCUUACGUGGCAAUAAGCUGAUCUGCGUUAGGUCAUGUUGACCCCGAAUCCUGUUUUGAGCUUUCCUUUUUUAACUUCUCGUCCGUCGUGUGUCUUGUUUGUCUUUAUAAAAUGCCAACGUCCAGAGCUGCUCUGUUGCAAUGACUCAGCUGCGUCUCAUUUCUGGCCAGUCGUUCUGAGCCUCAGAAUUUGGGGAAUUCCAGAGAAGACUCUGCUGUGCCAACAGAAAAGAAAUAGAGAAUAGUGGGAGAACUUUCUGUGUUUGUGGAGGUGCUUCCACUUUGAUGGGGGCGCUGCUAGUGGAGGGAGGGGGCUUGUGAGGCAUGAGCCCCUAGUUCUUUCUCAAAAGUUCCCCAAGGGUUUCUGGGUGCCUAAUGAAUUGGUCUGAAAGGGGUUCCCAGUGUGGCAAAAAUUUACUUCUACACCACUCUGUUUGUUACCCAGGUGGGGGGCCUACUCUUAAAUAAAACACAGAACCAAUUCUUACCACACCGGGCCGGAUGAUCGAAGAGACUAAACAACUUUAAACGUAACCCUUACCUAGAGACGAUUUGAGGUUAAUGAAUGGGGGACGUAAUUGAGGAAGCAAAUUCACCUUGCUGGGGGAAAUGGAAUUGGGGUUAAAGGAAUUGAAGAGAGAAUGAUUUGGGAUGGGAUGCAAUUUAACUGAAUUAAUUUAUCUGGGGCUUGCCUCUAGCUGGCUUGCCUCUAAAUUUGUGUGUAUACAUAUGUCUGAGCAUGUGUAUGUAUACGUAUAGAUAUACACCCACCCACAUUUGUGCCCCCGGUUUUGUUACAGUGACCUUGCAGCACCCCUGGAGCUCAGCAACGCUGCCUUUCUAGGCUUGGGGUUAGCAGGCAACACGGAUGCCGUGAAGCCUCUGGAUGAGGCCUGCUUCCAGCCCUGGGUACUGCGAGGCCUCCUCCUUUCCAAAGCAAGAACAGGCAUUUCUUGUCAACCCGCCGCACAGCUCUCUCCGGCUGCCCAAACACUCCGCUUUUGCCAGUAUCCAUUCAUUCCAGAUGUUGUUGUGUCUUUGCGUUUGGAAGUUGCCUUGAGAACAAAAGUCACCCGAGGGGGGGGGGUGGCGGAGAAGCCUCUUCCCUCCGUGCUUCCUCCUGGAUGUUGUCCCCCGCCAGGCAGCUGCGUUCUCGGGCGAGCGAGAAGAGGUGGGGGUCUCUCUUUGGUCAGGGCAGCCUCGCCCGAAACUUAAGUAUUAAUCGCUCAGGGGGGUGCGGAAUGAACAUUUGUAAGAAGUUGGGGAGGGUGUUUUCUUCCACUAUUAAAAAAUGUAUUUUAUAGGUUUCGUUUUUUUAAAGAACGACCCCCACUUCUUCUCACCCCAUUGGUGCCCCUUGUAGCUGUUUUGGUCACCAAAGGACUUCCUUGUGAUCUGAUUCCCCCCCCCCCUUCCUUUUCUCCCCCACCCGAACCUCCGAACCUCCUCCUCUUUAUUUCCAAAAGCCUUGGGGCUUUAAAGGUGGGACAGGAGCCCAAAUGUCGGUUGCGCAGACUUGGGGUUUUAUGAUACUGGUGUUCCAUCCUCCUCCUCCUCCUCCAUUCCGUUGUAGAUUCUUUCUCUUAGAAUGGCUGCUGUGUUUGUGGGUCCAUUGUGGUGUUCUUGUGUGUGUGUGUGUCUUGAGUGAGAGCGUCCAUGGGUAGCUGUAACAGAGAUGGGGAGACUGGAUGGUUUUACCUAUCUCUGACGUCUGAUAAAUCACCCCAAAGGGAAGCGUAGUGAGGAAUGGGGGGGGUCUUUCCAAAUGGGUGUCUUCUUUAUGAUCUUUCUCUCUCUCCUCCCCUUCCUCUUUCGUUCCUUGAAACUGACAGCGCUUUAAGUCUGUUACCUGUCUUUCGGUUUUUGUAUUAAAGGGCCUAUUUCAGGGGGUGGUUAAAAUGGAUUGUGUUUUUGGUUGGGCAAACCCGAUCUCUCUCUCUCUCUCCGCCUAAAUCUUCGUAUACUGCUUUUCCUCUUCAUUUUGGCCCAAUGGUGUUAAGUAGAUGUGAGAUGUUAGGAGUUUUAAAGCUGUGGGAUGGGUGGGGAGGGGGAAGGAAGUGUUUUCAGUAGAUGUGGAAAUUUUAGAGACUUGAAAGCUAUUUCCCCCGUUUGUUUUGUUUUUAAGAGAAAUUUGGGGGAAAGCAAAAUAUAUGCAAUGCUGCCACUUUAAAAAGAGUCUGGAAUGAAUUCUAUACAUCUCGGAGCACAAAAUCCUACAGCUAUAAGCAUGGGCUCUUUCCGUUUUCCAUUCAAAUAAUUAUUAAAGAUACGUUUCAGUGUUAACAGCUGCACAGGACCUGAUUCGGGCAUCUAAACGGCUGCUUGUAUGAUCCCCUGUGGCAGUGUUACAAUCUGGAGGUUCUUAAGACAUCUGUGCACUGCUAAGAUUUAACGGGUAGGUCUGGGGCGAUAAAGGGCUCUCUUUUAAAAGCAGAAAUGCAACACUGUAGAGUGGCAACUUAAAGGCUUGCUUCAAGGGUCCGCAAACCACUCUGAGGUUUUUACAAUCAAGCAGUGCAUACAGUUUUAUGAAAUAAAAAAAAGCGCUGAGCACAUGUAUAAUAUUCUGACAAGUGUGGUAUGGAAGAAAGGAGGCAGACCCUACAGUCAUGCGGAGCUUUGGAGGCGCUCAGGAAAUACUGUAUUUUUCGCUCUAUAGGACGCACCGGACCAUAGGAGGGGGUGAACAGGAAAAAAGAAAAAGGAGCCCCUUCCAUUUCUCCUCCCGCUUCGCUGAAGGGGUGCUGCGCAGAGAGGGAAAACUGUGCAGCGCCUCUCCAGCGAAGCGAAGCCUGGAGAGCAAGAGGGAAGCGCUCCGGGGGCUUCAGGCGGC